rnacentral:rRNA from 1 species
CCAAGUCUUGACAUCGGAAUGACCGGUCCGUAACGGGGCCUUCCCUUCGGGGCAUUCCAGACAGGUGGUGCAUGGUUGUCGUCAGCUCGUGUCGUGAGAUGUUGGGUUAAGUCCCGCAACGAGCGCAACCCUUAUCCUUAGUAGCCAGCAAGUCAAGUUGGGCACUCUGGGGAGACUGCCAGGGAUAACCUGGAGGAAGGUGGGGAUGACGUCAAAUCAUCAUGCCCCUUAUGAUUUGGGCUACACACGUGCUACAAUGGCGUAAACAAAGGGAAGCAAAGGAGUGAUCUGGAGCAAACCCCAAAAAUAACGUCUCAGUUCGGAUUGUAGUCUGCAACUCGACUACAUGAAGCUGGAAUCGCUAGUAAUCGCGGAUCAGAAUGCCGCGGUGAAUACGUUCCCGGGUCUUGUACACACGCAAG